rnacentral:rRNA from 2 species
AAAAGUUACUAAGGGCGUACGGCGGAUGCCUAGGCUUUGAGAGGCGAUGAAGGACGUGAUAAGCUGCGAUAAGCUUCGGGGAGUGGCACAUACACAUUAUAUCCGAAGAUUUCCGAAUGGGGGCAACCCGGCAGGUUGAAGGCCUGUCACUGCGUAAGCAGAGCGAACGUGGGGAACUGAAACAUCUAAGACCCAUAGGAAAAGAAUCAAUUGAGAUUCCGUAAGUAGUGGCGAGCGAACGCGGAUUAGCCUAAAGACCAUAUAUUUUUAGUAGAAUAACCUGGAAAGGUUAACCGAAGAGGGUGAUAGUCCUGUAAACGAAAAGGAUAUAUGGUUGAUAACGAGUAAGGCGGAACACGAGAAAUUCUGUCCGAAUAUUGGGAGGACCAUCUUCCAAGGCUAAAUACUCCUCAAAGACCGAUAGUGAACUAGUACUGUGAGGAAAGGUGAAAGCAUAUCGAAUAGAUAGUUGAAAUAGAUCCUGAAACCGUACGCCUACAAGCGGUCGGAGCCCUACGGGGUGACGGCGUGCCUUUUGCAUAAUGAUCCUACGAGUUAAUGUCACUGGCAAGGUUAAGUACUUCAGGUACGGAGCCGUAGCGAAAGCGAGUCUGAAUAGGGCGAUACAGUCAGUGGUAUUAGACGCGAAACCUUGUGAUCUACCCAUGGGCAGGUUGAAGCUUUGGUAACACAAAGUGGAGGACCGAACCGGUUGACGUUGAAAAGUCUUCGGAUGACCUGUGGGUAGGGGUGAAAGGCCAAUCAAACUGGGAAAUAGCUCGUACUCCCCGAAAUGCAUUUAGGUGCAGCGUCAUGUGAAGUAUAUUAGAGGUAGAGCUACUGAUUGGAUGCGGGGGAGUCAAAUCCUACCAAUUCCUGACAAACUCCGAAUGCUAAUAUAUGUUUCAUGGCAGUGAGGGCAUGGGUGCUAAGGUCCAUGUCCGAGAGGGAAAGAACCCAGACCAUCAGCUAAGGUCCCCAAAUAUAUGCUAAGUUGAAUAAACGCGGUUGGAUUGCAUUGACAGCUAGGAUGUUAGCUUGGAAGCAGCUAUUCAUUUAACGAGUGCGUAACAGCUCACUAGUCGAGCGAUCCGGCAUGGAUAAUAAUCGGGCAUAAGCAUAUUACCGAAGCUAUGGAUUUGUACUGAAAUAUGUACAUCUGGUAGGGGAGCAUUCUAGCGGCGCAGAAGUCGUUCCGGCAAGGAGCGGUGGAGCUUCUAGAAAAGAAAAUGUAGGAAUGAGUAACGAUAAAAUAAGUGAGAAACUUAUUCGCCGUAAGACUAAGGUUUCCUCAGCUAUGCUAAUCAGCUGAGGGUUAGUCGGGACCUAACGCGAACCCGAAAGGGGUAGUGGAUGGCAAAUGGGUUAAUAUUCCCAUACCUGCUCUCAAUAAAAGUGACGAAUGAUCGUAGGAGGUGCGUACUGACGGAAUAGUACGUUGAACUUAGGUAAACUAAGGAUAGUACACAAAGGUUUCGGCUGGAGUGAUAACCCUCUGAAGAUUGUUCCAAGAAAUAGCGAGAGAAGCAGCCCGUACCGUAAACCGACACAGGUGGUCGAGGAGAGUAUCCUAAGGCGCUCGAGCGAUUCAUGGUUAAGGAAUUAGGCAAAAUAGCCCCGUAACUUCGGGAGAAGGGGCGCUGGUAGCAAUAUCAGCCUCAGUAAAAAGGCCCAGGCGACUGUUUAUCAAAAACACAGGACUCUGCUAAAUAGAAAUAUGACGUAUAGGGUCUGACACCUGCCCGGUGCUGGAAGGUUAAGGAAGGGGGUUAGAAGUAAUUCGAAGCUCUUAACUGAAGCCCCAGUAAACGGCGGCCGUAACUAUAACGGUCCUAAGGUAGCGAAAUUCCUUGUCGGGUAAGUUCCGACCUGCACGAAUGGUGUAACGAUCUGGGCACUGUCUCAACCAUGAUCUCGGUGAAAUUGUAGUAUCGGUGAAGAUGCCGGUUAAUCGCAACGGGACGAAAAGACCCUGUGAACCUUUACUAUAGCUUUGUAUUGACUUCGGGUAAAUAAUGUGUAGGAUAGGUGGGAGACUAUGAAGCAGCGUCGCUAGGCGUUGUGGAGUCAUUGUUGAAAUACCACCCUUUAUUUACUUGGAGCCUAACUUCUGAUUCAGAAGGACAGUGCAUGGUGGGUAGUUUGACUGGGGUGGUCGCCUCCAAAAGAGUAACGGAGGCUUUCAAAGGUACCCUCAGCACGCUUGGUAACCGUGCGUAGAGUGUAAUGGCAUAAGGGUGCUUGACUGUGAGGCCAACAAGCCGAGCAGGUGCGAAAGCAGGACAUAGUGAUCCGGUGGUUCCGUAUGGAAGGGCCAUCGCUCAAAGGAUAAAAGGUACUCCGGGGAUAACAGGCUAGUCUCCCCCAAGAGCUCACAUCGACGGGGAGGUUCGGCACCUCGAUGUCGGCUCGUCACAUCCUGGGGCUGGAGAAGGUCCCAAGGGUUGGGCUGUUCGCCCAUUAAAGUGGCACGCGAGCUGGGUUCAGAACGUCGUGAGACAGUUCGGUCUCUAUCUGUUGUGAUCGUUAGAAGUUUGAGCGGAGUUGACUCUAGUACGAGAGGACCGUGUUGAACAAACCUCUGGUGUAUCAGUUGUGCCGCCAGGUGCACCGCUGAGUAGCUACGUUUGGAAGAGAUAAGCGCUGAAAGCAUAUAAGCGCGAAACUCGCCGCAAGAUUAGACUUCUUUAAAGGGUCGUUGUAGACUACAACGUUGAUAGGCUAUAGAUGUAAAGGCAGUGAUGUCAUAGUCGAGUAGUACUAAUUACCCAUAGACUUUUUCAG